rnacentral:lncRNA from 1 species
AAUUAUUUAAUUGUAAUAACUUUAAUUAUCAACUUCUAAAAUUUAUGGUAACGUUAUCAAUAAAAUUCCGAAGGAUGAAAAUUGUCAAUCAGUCUCAUUAAUAACGGCAACUUCUUGCUCAAUGUCACUCGCUUUCACUCUUAAUUUUGAAUAUUUAAGUAGUUUUCUUAUUAAUUAAAUUGAAUAAGUUGUGGUUUGUGUGUAAUCACUCGAGUUUCAGCAAUAAUGAGUAGGGUUAGUGUUGGUAUUUGCACAAAAUUGUUAUAACUACAAUUAUUAAUAGUUGAAGAACACCAAAUUUAUUUAUUGAGUAGUGUUACACAUCUCAAAAUUUUUAUCAUAAAUGAUAUGACAUUCAUCAAAUUGAUUGGUGAGAUAUUACAAUUAAUUUACUUAAAUUUGAUAAGAAAUUAUGAAAUUUAAUGAAUGACAUGUUAUUUAGAAUAAACUUUGAGAUAAUAGGAGUCUAUUACCACUCUUAUUUUUUUAGACUUGGCUAGGACUGAAAAAUGAUGUUGAAUCGUUAAUAGGAAAAUCAUUCAAGAAAACAUAGAACGACGAUGCAAGGUAGCAAGAAUAUUAAAAAAUAUGUUAGAGCCGGUUAGGGAUGGCAAUUGGCACCGCCCGCGGCGGGUUUGUCAUUAUCAAAGCCAAACCCACACAAAAUUUAAAUUACCAAACCCACCUGCAACCCAUAGCGGGUUUUAAUUUUUUUAAGAAAACCCACCCGCUAAGGAUUUUGACAAUUACCAAACCCGCAUUGGUAUCCGGCGGAUUUUUUGGGGAAUUUUUAUAUUUAAAAUCACAAAUGUUGAAUAUAUAAAUUUACAAUAAUAACCUCAAAUUCCACAUAACAUAUUCAAUUUUAAAUUUAACUAAUAUAAAUGAAAAAUUAAAAUUUCAACAUCAAUCCAACACAAAAUUUUAAAUUUUAAGUAUAAAAUACACAAAUCCAUUAAAAAAAACGACAAACUAAUAUCUAAAAAUAACAAUUACAUCUCAUAUUAUCAUUCAACACAAGCUCCAAGAAAGAUGUUCAUUUCAUUCACCAUCAUUAGCACCCAUCCAACAUGAUGCCUACAAUAAUGAUUAAGAUUAAUAUUUUCCAAAAAAUAAUAUUUUUCAAAUACUAAUCCGAAAAAACUUAUAUAAUGAACUAAUUCAUGCAUUAAGUUAAAGAAAAAUAGUCCAUACAAAAACAUUUUGGUUAUUUGGCACUUUGCAUUGUUAUACACACUACACUUGUUUAUACUUUGGUUAUUUGGCGCUUUGCAUAAUUGCAUUAUUUUCUUUAUAUAUUAAAUAUUUAAAUAUUUUUCAAUUAAAAAUAUUUAAAAAAUAUUGCGGGUCUAGCGGAUAUCCAUGUGGGUAUUCGCCGGAUAUUGGGCUAAUACCAAACCCACCCGCAUCCAAAUGCGGGUUUCAAUUUGUAAUACCAAACCCACCCGCAACCCACAAAAUUAUCCGAAGCAGACGGGUUUUGGCGGGUGGAUUUGGGCGGGUUUGUAGACACAAUUGCCAUCCCUAUAGCCAGUUAAAUGGAGAAAAAUUUUAAAUAGUUUUCAUAAAGCAUAUUUUUAUUUUUUUAUUGAGCAUAAAAAUUGCAUUAAUCUCAUGACAAAAGAGUAUAAAGUUCUACUAAAACAUUUUCCAGCCGAACUACAACACUAGUCGUCGAGGCGGAACUACAUUCACGCCUAGCAAGGGUUGCCAAGGUUUCAAAAUUUAUUUUUAAAAAAUAAUGUGAAAACUAAAAAGUUUUCAAAAUGAUCCCCAAUAUAUGUUUCAAGGCAACUCUCAAUUUUCUUCAUAUUUUCGCAACCCCUAAAUUAAAAUCUUAAUUCCACCACCGACUAGACGACUUUUGCAAAUUCUGCUAGCUUUUGAGUUGAUACUUUGCAAUUUCAAGAGACAGGUUGAACUCAAAAAGCACUCAUUCGUUCCAUCAGCAGAUGAAUAUCACUAAUGACCUAAACAAACCUCAAUACGAAAACCUUCAAUCAGCCACUACACAAUUGCGCUACUACAGUCAUUGAAUUCACAUGGCAACAACAUCCAUGGUUGUGCACGUUUUAGCUAGCGUCUUUAAUGCGCGCUCAAAUUUAAGUUGGCAAAAAUACAUGAUUUUUCUCUAAGCUCUGAUUUUAAUCUUGUGGGAAGGAGAUGAAUGAAAUACUAAUUUUUUUUUUAAAGGGUGAAAGACCAAAAAAGAAAAAAGCAGUACUUGAAAAUUAUAAGCUCAAAAGUUGUUUAACUAGCAAUUCAUUCAUUUAUUUUUUUAGAAGGAAUAAUUCAUGAGUUUUCAAGUCAGCUUUAACGACAAUGAGAUGUGAAAAUAAUUGUUGCAUCUUUAGAAAGUAGUCCUCUUAUAAGAAUGCACACAUCCUUUUAAAGUACAGACGUUCAGAUUUUAUAAGCUCAUAUUACAAUAUAUUUAUGUAAUAUUCAGAAGUUUCAUCGAGAGUUUUUAAGUUACAUUUCACUCUUACCCCUCCUCAUCAUCAAAUUAAAUGUAUACCCUUAGAAUUGCACUCGUGACUUCUUGCUUCCAUUGCAAUGGUUAAGCCAACUAUAUUCGGGAUUUAAAUUUACGUGAUUAUAAUACAUUCUCGAAAUGUAGCGAGACUAAAAUGAUAAUCUAAGCCUGUUAAACUAAAACCAAAACAAAUGGUUGAUCGUGAUUUCUUUUUCAUUAGAUUUUAAUACUAAUGUAUGCAUGGUGUAAUGUUUAGACAAAAUAGAUGGGCGCUUAGUGUUAUUUACUUAAUUUGAUAUCUAAUUUUGAGAACCACAUUGGACUGGUCCCGUUGGAUCUGACUGUCCAUGUAGUCUAUUUUGGUCUAAAUAGGGAUCAAACUUUGAUUGAACUUUGGACUCAAAUGUGGAAUCAGUUAGGGGUGGGCAUGAGUUGGUUUGGGUUAGAUUUUAAAACAAUCCGAACUAAAUUAUAAAAAUUUGGGCCUGACCUAAACCAACCCAAAUAUUUUUAACCGAGCCUAAAUAAUUCAUUUGGGUUUUGUUUGAAUUUUAUAAUCAAAAUAUUUUUUACUUUGAUAAAUUUAAUUAUAUCAAAAUUAUAAUAAUUAUUAAUUUUAUUAAUUAUUACAUUACUAUUAAAAUAUGAAAAAAUAUAGUGGAUAAAAAAUUAUAAAUAAUAGAUUUUACAAUAACUUUAUCCUUAAAUUAAAGAAUAUUAGAAAAUUAAAAUAAAAUUUAAUUACAAAAAUCAUUAUUUCUCAAUAAAUGAGAACGUAAACUUUAACAAUAAACUUUCACAAACAUGAUAUCAAUAAGUAAAUUAAAAGAAAGAAAAUAAAAAUUAGUGGUAUUAACCAUAUUAAAACACAAAUUCAAACAAUGUCAAUACAAAUCAAAACAAGAUAAGACAUCCCAACUCAGAUAUCAAAGCAAUCCAUUAUAAUCAUUUCUAUCCACAGUACUUUAAUUAAAAUAACAACCACAAGCUAUACAUGUAAAGAUAGUUGUAUUAAGGCUCCGUUUGAUACAACUUUUCAAGUAGAGAUUUUGAUAGUAGAGCUUUUACAAAUAGAGCUUUUACUUAAAAAAAUUUAGAUGUUUGGUUGUCAAUAAGAGCUUUUAUUAAAAAUUUAUAAAAUUUUUAAGUUAUGUUAUGAAAAUAAUGUCAAAUAAGUAAAGAAUAUUUUAGAUAUUUUAAUAUUUAAAAAAAACUUUUCAACCUCUACUCUCAAAAGCUCAAAAUUUGAGAUUUUGUUAGUAGAGGCAAAAUAGCUUAUUUAAACUCUAAAAAUUCUAUAAAAAAAAAACCAAAUAAAAACAAAAAUUAUGAUAAGAGCUUAUGGAAUUAAAUAAGCACUUAUGAACAUUACAUAAGCCAUACCAAAUAAACACUAAAUAAAUAAAAUAAAAGAGUAAAUGAAUAGAAUAUUUCAUGUAACUGAGCAAUCUCGAGCUGUUUACGAAUAUAUGUGGAAAGUGUCCUAAGUUUAAUAUAUAAAAUGGUUCUGAAUAAAGAGAAUUUGAAAGACGAAUUGAAAGAGCGAGCAGGCACUAAGAUUUCCUCAUUUCAAUCUCAUUCAGGUAUAUUUGAUUAGUAAAGUGAAAGACCCCGAGUCCGAGUCCGAGUCCGAGUCCGAGUGUCCAACUAGAAAAUUCAUUAAAUACGCACCUUCUAACCGACUCAAUCCCACCACAAGGGACCCACAAAACCCACCCAACCAAACAAAACUGCCUUUUAAGUCUCAUUAAGUCUCUGUUCUGUUUUGGUCAAUCGAAUUCCUCUGUCCUUUCUGCGCAACAAAAUCACAAACGAUGUUGCGCCAUGCCUCUAACCUCGCCUCCAAAGUCAGGUGCACUUCUCCUUCACAGUUUACCAAAUUUUUAUUUUGUUUACUUUGUUUUCCUUCCACUUCUCUCAUUUUGUUUAUGUUAGUUAAUUUGAUUUUGUAGGUUGCUUGAUAACAAUUUUCAGCCGGUGAUGAUUCAUUCAUUCAUUUAUUAGUGUUUUUUGUUUCCUUUUUUCAAAUAAUAAUAACUAAUUCUGGCUUGGCUUAUUCAGUUCAAUUGAUUAAUUUCGUUGAGUUAAUUUCGUUGAAUUUAAUUCUGUGUCAGGUUCAUUUAACUCGGAGCAGACAGUAUACCGCGGCGGAAGUCACUAAAAGAUUUUUGGAUUGUGAAACAUCUUCUGGAUUUUCUUAAUUAAGAAAUUAGAUUUGCUGUGAAUGGGAAUGGAGUUAAUUAAUGGAUACAGAUCAUCUGAUCAAAUUCAAUUGACAUCUAUCUUCUGUCUGCAGGCACCAAUUCUAAAGUUAAAAGGGAGAAUUUUAUAUGCGGGAGGAUGCGGAAGUGCCAGACCAAAGACAAGGGGCUAGAAUGGCAAUUGAUGCACUUGUGGGAAAUUUAUACAGCACAGCACAACCCAUCACAUCAUUCGAACAAAUAGCCCUGGUUUUCUUUCUCACUUUAGACUCUUGCUCAAUUUAAUGAUAAUCCACAGAAAUAUAUUUCAUUUUGACGCGCUUUUUUUCCCAUUUUAAAUUGAAGUUUGGAACGGCUGCAGCAAAUGGUGACAGAGUGAUUGGCGAGCUCAUAGCCAAGGCUUUUGAGAAAGGUUGGGGAAACAAUCUUCAUGUGUUAGCUGUAAGUUGCUUCUUGAAUUUUUCAUCGUCUUUACUUUUUUCUUAUCUGCUGUGCCUCUGAUUCGGUUGUUAUGUUUCAGAACCUUCCAUUUUGUUUCCUCUACUGUUUUAUGUUUAUUUUCUACUGCCUCACUACUAUUGCAGGAUCGGAAAACACCACCCAGUAUUGAACUUCAGUUGUAUUGGGGAAUGACCCUAGACAGGGGCUAUUUGUCACCUUACUUCAUCACCAAUCAUAAGACGAAAGAAUGUGUAAGCAUUUUGAGAUAUCAAUAAAUUAAUUGACGUUUUAUGAGAAAUUUGUGAUUCUAUAAAGGAUAGAUAUAUUGACAAUGAAGUAAUUGAGAUUGCUUAGUUCUUACCUUGAAGAUAUAACUUUGGAUCAGCCUUGUUAUUAAUCAACUAGUGAUUUCAUUUUUACUAGGUUUUACGAGAUCCUUAUAUCAUGAUCCUUGAGAAAAAGGUUUCGAACUGCGUCUUCUUUGACUUAUUGACAGAGAUUGGACCAGUUAGAAGAUAUAAUGGCACAGAUGUACUGAUCAUUGCUGAAGAUAUUGAAAAUGAUCUCCUAGCAAGUCUUGUCUUAAAUGGAGUGGCUACAGCAACCAAGGUGAACUUAUACUUGACAGUGUUUUGCUGUUAAGAGAUGGCCUACUUGAAGAAUCUUCUAUCAUUCAAUUAUUCAUUUAAUUUUACAAAGUGAAGUUUCAUAUGUCUUCUCAUUUUUUGUGGGUUCUGAAUUGCUUGAAGCCUUGUGUCAUAAAACCUCCUGGAUUUGGAGAAAGUAGGAAGGCUAGCCUUCGGGACAUUGCCAAAUUCACGUAUGGGAAGGUUGGUUCAUUUGAUAAAUGCUCCACCUUGCUUUGCAUGAUUAUUAUGUGAUUUACAAAACAAUGUGUUCCUUUCUUUCUCUUUUAGGUCAUGACAGGAAAAGAUUUUGAAUGCGUAUCUCUUGGCCAUGCUGAGAAGGUGAGAGAUAUCAGAUAUCAGUGACUGGUAUAUAAUUUUCUUUGGUGUGAAAAAAAGAUUUAUUUUACCUAAGUAGAGCACAUCAUGAGAACGUUCUUCUCAUCCUUGUUUCUGGUGGACUUUAAUCCUUUCUUCUGGUACAACUUUGGCAUAGUAAUAUAUUAAUUUUCAUUUCCUUGUGUAUAUUGACAAGAGAGACGAGGUUUUGCUCAAACAAUAUGUCUUAGCCCUCUUUUAUCAUUGUAGAUUACGGUAUCAAAGGAUCAGACGGUUAUCCUUCUUUGUAAGGCUUGCAUAGGACACGAAAAGGUCUGUGUUGUGACAUUUCACAUGAUUUUCCAACAAGUUAUCAGAAUUUUCAAUUGUGUUUAUAAUUUGAAGCGACUCUGCUUUUCAGUUUAUACUGUUUGGCUCUUUUGUGCUUCUUUGGGCUGUUUCUAUAUUUUUGGACAACUUGCUUACCCUUUUGCUAAUUUUCUUUUCUUAAAUAUGUCUGUUGCAGUUGUUACAGUGGAGAUUCACAAUGGAAAAUUUACAAGAUUUCCCUGAAGAGAGCUGUACAAAGCACUCUUAUCUCGCUGCUGUUAUAAAGGUUUGGUUAUUUGGAAUUGUAAAUUAGUUCUUCAAGAGCUUUGAAACUGACUUGUGCUGGGCAUAGAAUGAAAGUUCUCAGCCUAACAUGACCUAUUAGCACGAUCCAUUUGGGCCAAGUCAUGACCAGGUCUAAACUCUAAAUCCUGGUUGGCCAGCCAAGAAAUUUGAAUUUUCUUUUAUCUGCUAUUAAAAAAGUUGAAUAAACUCAUUUAUAGGGAGGAUCAAUGAUCAGGUCAUUUUGGAUAAAAUGAUUUAAUUAAUUGACUAAUUCUUUGGAUUCAUAUUACAUUCCCAUCUUCAUAUGAUUAUAAUUGAAGUAUAGAGUAGACUGAUACCGUACAAAUACUUUGAUACUUUAAAAUGGGAAAAAGAGAAGAAAAACAGUACCAAACAGUCAAUUAGACAUUAUAAUAUAUGUGAAGUUUUGGAACUGGAUUUUGGUAGAAGUAUAUAUUCCUUGCUAAUAGGAACGUGCCAAAGAUGAAUUCAAUUUGCUUGUUUGGUUACAGUAAUUGCAUUUAGAAGACAUGACUGCAUCUUAUUCUGUUGUUGCAUCAUGCUAUAAAUGAAAUUUGGCUCGUUGAGAUGAAAGAUUGUUGAAUUAGAGAUGUUAGGUAAGGAAGUAUUCUGAUUUGAAAUGAAACGGGUGCUGUUGUUGUAAGGUCUGUGGAAGUAAUAAAGCUGAAGUGCGUGAAAAGAAGGAUAGAGUUGCUAAUGCCAUAAAUGCUGUCAAGGCUGCAAAGGAAGGAGUUGGUAAACCUCUUAUAUUUUUGGCUUUUGUUGGUCUAUCUUGUUUGAUUGAUGCAUGACAUACAAAUGUUAUAUGUAUUCUGAUGCAUUUGCAGUUAGUGUGAUGUCACUUUUAUAUGCCUGCAAGGAGUUGGAUAAAUUGCAAACUGCUAACCAUGGUCAGAAGAUUGGUGUUCAAGCUAUCCAAUAUGCUCUUGAGGUUUUCUUUAUUCUUCUUUUUAAUUAUGUAUGUGAUAUUUCUAAAAGCUCUUAUUGUCUAUCUGUCUAAAGGCAGAGGGCUGCUAAGAUUAUUCCUCGUUGAAAGGUGAAAAGUGACAUAUACUUCACAAAAUGCAUGCGUGGUUUUCGUUAUGGGGCAUGAGCCUUAUCUUUUAUGUAUCUCAAGAGUGAAUCAUGGUAGAGAAUAUUGGUAACAAAAUGUCUAGUUUUUCAGAGCCUUCUGAUUGGUUGAGCCUGCAUCUGCAGAUGCUGGUGAGCGCGAUUGCUUAUAGCGCUGGAGUUGAUGGGUCAGUUGUUAGCAAGCUACUCGAGGGAUCCAAGCCUAAACCCCUCGGUAAAGGUUUGCGUCUGUUUCCCCCUUUUUCGAAUAAUGGAAAUUUGAAAAGGAAACGAGUGAAAUUCGAGGGUUGGGAAUUAAGUGAGGGUACUUUGAUCUACAUUUGUGUCAGGUGAAAAUGCAGAUAUGCUUAUGCCAGAAAUUGUUUUUCCAUUGAAAACCAUAAGAGCAGUCUUGGUGGAGGCUACAAGGUAACUAGUUAUUUAAAACCUUUAAGCUUAUGCUAAUUUUUUAUCUAAGCACAUAUUAAUUCUUUCUUCUUGUGUAGUGAGAUGUUAGCAAGACUUUGAAAUUGAGGCUCUUAAGGUGGCUCAGCUUGUCUUUCCAAGAAUAUUUGCAAAGAAAGUUCCAGCUGAUACAAGCCUCCAGAGUAAAACAAAGGCGUAAUGGAGGCUUCUAUCAGCUUUCACUGGGUGCUGUUAUGGUUACGGUGAUUUAUAAUCCAAAUUCUCAUGGCACAUUAUAUUUAUUUAUUAUUUGUUUGAAAAGCAUACAUUAAGCUUUUUCAUAAACUAUACACGAACAAGAAACGGAAUAUAUUGGUCAUCAGGAGUUGCGCCUUAGAUAAAUAAUACAUGGAUGCUCCAACUUCUUAUAUGCAGUUUAUUUUUUUUCUUUUUCCCCUUAUUUUCCCUUUUCUGUUAGAAGCAAAAAUAUUCUCGACAUCCCAUUUCUAAUCUAUGUAUAUAAUAUCCCUCCAAUAAAAUGUUGCCAGAUUAUGAUUGCUAUUACCAUUAGCAAGUGGUGAGUGGUAGAUUUGUUGUUUUGUUGCAAAAUUAAUAUGUCAACUUUUGCGCCUUAGAUAAAUAAUACAUGGAUGCUCCAACUUCUUAUAUGCAGUUUAUUUUUUUUCUUUUUCCCCUUAUUUUCCCUUUUCUAUUAGAAGCAAAAAUAUUCUCGACAUCCCAUUUCUAAUCUAUGUAUAUAAUAUCCCUCCAAUAAAAUGUUGCCAGAUUAUGAUUGCUAUUACCAUUAGCAAGAGGUGAGUGGUAGAUUUGUUGUUUUGUUGCAAAAUUAAUAUGUCAACUUUAUUGCAAACUUUGCCCUUGAAAUCGGAAGUCUUCUAUUUUUUUUUUAAUUUUUUGAAAAAAUAAGAAUGGUAUUUAAAUAAGAAGGGAUAUCGACGGAAUUGAACUGAUGGUGUGCUUGUUUAUCAGUCACAUUCUUGUUUAUUUUUCAGAAAAUACAAUCCAUAAUAAGAAUCAAUUUUAUAGGACCACUCAAAAUGAGAAUGUGGAAUAAAAAUCUCAUUUUCUAAACUGGUCUUUUUUUUUACCCUUAUUGAUAUUGAAAUUCAAAAAUUUCUUUUUCACCCCCAUAUAAAUACAUAAAAAAAAUCAAUUACUUCAAUAAUUUUAUUAUUUAAAAUUAACAUUUAUAAAAAAUUAUUAUAAAAGAAUUUUUUUUUCUGGAAAACUAGUUUAGCGUAAUAUUAUUAAGAAAUAUACAUACAUUUUAGUUUUAUUAGUUUAGCUCAAUUUUGCUUUUUUUUUUUUGGAAGUCAGUGUUUUAUAUUUAUUUUAGUGCAUGUAAUAUGUAAAAAUAACUUGAUUUUACCUAUUUUGAUAAAUUUACGUUAUUUUGGAUUUAAAUAUAAAAGGUAUUAAAACUCCAUUUAUAUCAGUUUUUUUAAUUAUUAAUAAUGUUCUCUUUGAGAAGGAUAUAAGUCUUCCAUCACUUUCAUUUUGUGUCACAUUAUAAUUUGUGAUACAUUUGGCAACUCGCAUUACAUUGUAUUGCAAUUGCAUUAAAACACUACUCUUAUGCUAACUCAUGCUUGGUUAAAAUUUUUAGUUGCAUUGCACUACAUUUAAAAGUUGGCUAAUAUAAGAAAAGGUGUAUAAAAUAGAUUCGCAGGGGAGACGGUGGUAGGGUUUCAGCUGUAUUAUAUUCAAACAUUGUUUAUAUUUUAAUUAUAAUCAUAUAACUUUUAUUAUUUAAUGAAUUAUAGGAAAUUUAAAUUUAUUAUAUAUUAAUUUAUAUUUAAAUAAAAAUUUAAUUUAAUUAAUAAUAAAAGAUAGUAACACACCUAAAUAUUUAAUAAAUAAAUGAUUAUACAUUAUUUUAUUUCAUUAAAUAUAAUCAUUUUAAUUAUUUACUUUAAAUAUGAAAAAAGUAUUUUAAUUUUAUUUUAUCAUUUAUUAUUCAAUAAAAAUUAAUUUAUAACUUAAUAUCAUAUUGUUUUAUAAAUAUAAUAUAAUAUAAUUUAAUUUAUAUUAUGUAAUUAUGUAGUAUUAUACUUUUAAAUAUAAUAUUAAAUUUUACUACAUUAUAAUAUGAUUAUACUAUAUUCCAAUAACUAAUAUAUAGAGAUAAAUUAGAUUAUAAUAUAAUAUUAUUAAUAUUAUAACAUAGUAUUGUAGUGUUUUAUUAUUUAAUCAUAGUAUAUGAUUAAAUCAUGUUUAUUAUAAAAUUAAUAUAUAAAAAUAAUUAUUUAAUACUUAAUUUCAAUAAUUAAUAAUGGAAUCCUAAAAUAUUAAUAAAUUUAAAUAAUAUUAAUUUAAUUUUGGCAUCAAUAUAAAAAUAAUAUUAUUAUCAUAAUAUUGUCUAUGUUGCGCCAAACAUAAUAUUGCAAUGUAGAUAUCCUAAUGCAAUACAUCGUAACACAAUACAAUUAAUGCAAAAAGUGUGCCAAACAAAUCCAUAAAGCACAAAAAUUAAAGAAAGUGAAAGGACAAUAAAAACAGGCAAAAAAAUAAAAACAGGUCGUAUUCUUUAGUCAAGACUCAAGGGUGGAAAUUGAUACUAUUUGCAAUUAUUAGGUGGAAAAUUGAUUUUCUUUUUCCCAAUGGAUAUAACAUUGAUGGAUGAUACAGAUUUUAUACAGUUGGCGCAAAAUUGAAUUAAUUUAAAUUUUUGUAGCAUUUUCUAUAUUGGAGUAAUAUUCAAAUCAACAGCUGAUAAUAUCUUUAAAUUUCAAUAACUUUAAUUAGCAUCAUCAACAAUCAGUUGAAAUGUUAUCAAUAUAAUUCCUCGGGAGGAAAAUUGUCGGCUAGUCUUAUUAGUCAGCACGAUUUCUUGAGUCAUUAUCACUCAGACUCACUCAUAAAUUUGAAUAUGUAGGUAGAUUUCUAAUUAAUUAAAUUGAAUAGUUGUGUUUUGUACCCGUGAUCACUUGAAUUCCACUAAUAAUUAUUAAAAGUUGAAGAGCAUCAAAUUUAUUUUUUUUUCAAACUUGUCGAGGAUUGAAAAACAUUGUUGAAUCAUUAAUAGGAAAAUCGUUCGAAAAAACGUAGAAUGAGGAUGCAAGACAGCAAGAAUAUUAAUAAGUAUGUUAAAGCCGGCUAAAUUAAGAAAAUUUUAUGUAAAAUGUAAUAAAAAAUAUAAAGACAUUUUUGAGUAGUCAAUUUUAGCUUUCUUUCACAAAAUAGUAUUAUAAAAGACAAUUGGUAAAAUGUAAUAAAAAUGGCACGAGAAAAGGUUAGUAGAGGUGAUUUUCCUUGUAGUUAUUAAAACAUAUGAAGUAAUGGACACACACACAUAUUCAGUACUUCUAUUUACCCCUAUUUAUUAAUAGGUGGGAAAUUAAAGUCGUAAUUACCAUAAUGUAUUAUGAAUUGAUAUGUGAAAUAUAAAUAUUAACAAAAGCUAAUUUGUAGACUAAUAAAGUAAACCAUAUUUUAUGGGCACUAGAUACAUUAAUCUAAUGUCAAAUGAGAUAUACCACGUGAUAUUUCAAACUGUAGUCCAAUUUUCAGCAUUUGCAUAUGGUUUUAUAAGCUAGUAAACCAAUAAAAUAUACCAUGAGAAAUCAAAGGCUAUUGCAUAUAUUGCACCACUGGAUAUAUAUAUAUAUAUACACAUAUAACUUCCGUUAAUCUUCCAUGGCCAUGCAUUAGAAUAAAAUAAUCUAACCGCACAAACUAUAUCCGAUUGAUAAAUUUUGAAAUUAUUUUGAUUACAUGAUAAUCGAAUUAUCUUAUAACAUUAAGGGUAUGAAUUAAGUACUAUUUUAUCAAUUUUGAGUAUCGCAUUGAGUUUUCAAAUUAAUUAAAUGUUGAAACUCUUUCAUGUUUGGCCUGACAUUAUUACUUAAUAAAAUUACGAAAAGCCAAUAAUGAAUGGUGAAGGAUACAUAGUAAAAUAAACUUUAAAAUGUAAUUAAGUAUUCCCAUGAAUUUUGUGUAAUUAAACAAAAUAUGUUAUUUAAGUGAAAUUGUGAGAAUAUUUAAAAUUGUAGGGGUGGUCACUAAAAUUUCUCGGACUUGAGCAAACUACACGAUCCCACACGGUUUAUUUUAACAAAUAAAACUUGUUAACCGCUGACUGUUGGUAGAAUAAGUUCGUAUCAAUAAAACACAAUUCAAACUCAUAUUUGCAAGCAGCAAACAAUAUCUCAUCAAGGAACAAAUUUGAGUGGAGUUUUUGGUCAAUCAAUCUAAAUAAAUUUGAGUAGAGUUUUUUGGCAAUUAAUCAAGUUUUUGAGUUUUCAAAAAAUUUAUGUUCAAGGUAAAUCUAGGAGCUAUCAUUACAAGAAAGCAAUGGAUAUUGAUCAACAAAGUUAGUACUGUAUAUAUUCUUUGUAAUUUGAUAUUUAGAACUGUUAUGAUUAUUUUGUUGUUGAGUAGAGAGAUGGUUAUGUGGAGAUUUCAGCUAUGUAACCAUGUAAUGACCAAUGCUUUAAAAUCAAACACUUGUUCGAUAAUUUGACAAAACAAAAAAAAACAUGUAGAAAUGUAAGAAAAAUGAGCAUGUAAUGUCUGGCAGUCAUGCUUCUAGGGGAAAGAGGCUGAAACAAAGAACUAAUACAUUUUUUAAGUUGGUUGCUUCAGUGAUUCUGAGCAGUCAGCAUUCUUUAAGCCAUAUAUUCAUGUAGAAACCUUCAAAUAGAAAACCAUAAAAUUCUUUGAACUCCUGAGGAAUAAAUCUUUCUAGACAUAUAUAGUUUCUAAUUUUAUUCCUUGUUAAUUGAUAUCAGUUAAUUCAAAAACUUCGGGUCUUGUGUGGUUUCAAGACAGUUGUGACCUUUGUGCACUAAGGGCCCGUUUGGGAGUGUGGUGAGGUAGCUGGGUUGUCAAAGCCCAGCUACUAAAGUGUUUGGUAACACUUAUACCUGGGUUUUGACAAUUUAGCAGAUUUGUUUUCCCAGCUGCAAGUUUAAUUACUAAAUUAGCCUUAUAUAUUAUUCCAUUUUAAUUUUAUCAAACAGUCGUGUCAGUGGGAGUUCUAUUUCAAAUCAAUUUUUUUAAACAAACCCUAAACACCCAUUCUCAUCAGCACGAUUCCGACUGUGGGAGUUCCAAUUGAUGCGAUUCCGACACUGGCCACUCUCAUACGCCUCUGUCAGUGGUGCGUUUUCCUCUACCCGUUGUUCAUUUUUUAGUGCUCCUUUACUCUAUUGCAAGCAAUUUUUCAUUUUCUUCCUUUUCGUUCAUAAAAUGUUGGGGCUUUUGUUUAGAAUAAAUUGAUGGGUGAUGGGUCAUGUGUGAUUUAUUUGCUUGUAACCAUUGUUUUUAUCGUAGUUUUUAUUUUUGUAGUUGCUUUUUGUAGACAUGCACAGCCCCUGUUUGAUUUGAGUUUCUAGUUCUACAAAACAUUAAAUAAUAAAAUGCAUGCCUACGUUAUGAAAUACUAUGCUUCAGUAAACAAAGGGAAGUUUGUCAAAUUCCGGAUUUCAAGUUGAUGUUUUGGCACAGUCAAAAGAAGGGGGAAAGUGUUGCAAUUGCAAUUGUAUAGGUCUUAUCCAAUUUCUUUGGGAUGGGCCAAAAGAAUAGUACAGGAAAUAUCAAAGCACGUAGCAAAUUUGAGAUUGUGAGGCUAAAUGCAAUUGCAGUUUGUACCUAAUGAUUGUUUAGUUGAAUUUCUUUGUUUCCUAGUCUGGUUUGUCUUUUGUUGCUUUAUUGACUUUCUUGUAAUUGUUUCUAUUCGUGGGCUAUGAUCAUUAUUGUUUGCUGGAAAAGUAUUUCAAGUAAACUAAGUGUUUGAUUAAAAGUAUUUCAAGUAAAGUAACAACUAAAGUAACUUGUUCUGGUUUGUCUUUUUUUUUUAAAUUUUUUUAAUAUCGAAUUAUUUUUCCUUCCACCAUCCAUAACAAGAUUCUAGUAAUUUUAUUAACUUCUAUGUUCUUAUUUUUCCUGUAUUGUUGUUUGACAAAGAAAUAUUUUUUUUUCCUAGGUUUAAGUGUAUGAAAUUAUGUCUAAUAGCUCAACUAGUAAGGCUACCUGGAACCCCCAGACUUUAGAUGUAUUUUGUGACUUAUGCAUUAAAGAGGUGGAUGCCGGACAUCGUCCUGGGACUCAUUUGACUUCCCAAGGAUAUGAAAAUUUGAUUAAGGAGUUCAUUAGAGAAACUGGAUUAGAUUACAACAGAACUCAAAUGAAAAAUAAAUGGGAUUCUUUUAGAACUGAUUGGAAAUUGUGGAAGAAUUUGAUUGGUAAGGAAGCUGGUUUAGGGUGGAAUCAUAGGUUGAGGACAAUUGAUGCAAGUGAGGAAUGGUGGGAAAAGAAAAUAAAGGAAAAUCUGCAAUUCAGUAGAUUUCGGAAAAAUGGUAUUGAUCCAGAGUUGGAGAAAAAAAUAAAUUUAAUGUUCAUGAACACUGUGGCUACUGGUGAGCAUGUUUGGGUUCCCUCAUCUGGUUUUCCUUUAGAGAGUAAUGACGCAUCUGAAUCUCUUUGUGUUGAGAGUACUGCUGACUCUGAUGAGUAUAUUGUGUCUGAUGAUAGUAAGGGAAGCAAAGGUAAAAGAGUGGCCUUAAAAGGGAACAAAGUAGGAGGUGCUGUAAAACUGUCAAGGCAGCUUGAUCGUCUCAUUGAUGCAGUAGAGAAAAGGAACACAACUUCAAACUCUCAAAAUGAUACAAGUGGGAAAGAGAUUUAUAAAGCAUUGGAAGUGGUUGCUUCUUUACCAAACAUUGAGGCUGGGAGUAAAGUGUGGUUAUUUGCUAGUCAGUUGUUUACGGACAAAGUGAAAAGGGAUUUAUUUAAUGAGAUAGAAGAUCCAAAUGUCAAAUUGAAAUGGCUUAAUUAUGAGAAAAAUACAAAGUGAAAAUGUAUUGUAUUUAUGAAACAAUAUUUUGUAAAUUAUGUUUAUGAAUGAAUACUUUUUAUUUUGUCACUGAUUACACUUUAUAUUACAUUUACAAUGUAUAUGAAUUGUUGCUAUUGAUUUAUUUGCUUGAGGCUUAUUUAUGGAAAUAUUUCUGGACUAUUUGCUUGAGGAAAAAUAAUAGCAUUGAAAUUAUUAUUAGUAUAUCUUCCAUAAUUAUGUCUUAACUUCUCAGCAAGCUCUGGCUCUUGGCGUAUAAUUUCCUUCACAAAAUCCACAUGCCCAAGCAUACAUAAUUAAUUUAUCCUGUUGAAGCACAUGAGCCAUUCUUUGUGAUUAAUUAAUUACAACUUAAUUACUUAAUUAUUUCUCUUGCAUAUGUAAUUGGUUGACUUUAUUCUGGCUGUAAUAAAUACCAUGAGUUGUAAGAAUCAUUAACCUUCUUAUAGGCCUCAUAUAUGCAUGAUCGUAUAGAUAAUGCUAAUAAACGUUCUUCAAAUUAAGUUCAUUAAUUUCAUAUUUCUGUCUUAUAUUUAUGCUUCCAAAUGGAUAAUUUUCUUGAGAACUUUCAACAUACUCAAUUAUUUCUUGUCCAAUAUUAUUCUAACAACUAAGAAGAAUAAGAAUAAAGGGACCCUUUAUUUAUGCUUUCAACCAAGAAGAAUAAAGGGACCCUUUAUGAAAAAAAAAAAAAUUCUAAGAGCUAUAAAUCUUAUAUUUGGAGCAUUUAUGAAAAUAAUAAUAAUAAUAUUUUCAAGGGUCCCUUUAUGAUGCCGUAAUUUUUUUACGGUAUCAGUAGUGUGGGAAAUAUAUACCGUUAGAUCUAAUCAACAGUACAUAUUAUUUAUAUUAAUGAAAAUUUUUAAUUAUUUGAAAAUUAUCUUAAUUGGUUAACAAACCUGUAAAAUAGGUAAUUUUAAAUUUAAAAUGAAAAAGAAACAGAGAUAUAGUCAAAUACAAUCUCUCUUUAUCUCUCACGUUCAUGUUUUUAUAAUUGGAUUCUUUAAGAUUAUCUCUGUCUCCUUAUGAUUAGAUGAAAGAGAUUCAAUAAAUUUCUCUUAAUAAAUAUUUCAGUAGUUUUAAUCGUAUUUUCAAAUUGGAAUUUUUUAAUAACGUAACAGCUGUAUUUUUAUUGUAUUGUCAAUUUAUUGCCUUGAGUAUUUGCUGCCAUGGUUUAAGAUCUGUCCUACGCUGCUUAAAAUCAUUCUAUAACGUGCCUAAAGGCACCAGGCGGUUUAGAGGCUCGUGUGGUUCACAGAUUACCAACCAUAGAGAAAAAGUAAAUGGGGAGAGAACCAUGAGGCAAGGUGCACUCACUACUAAAAAAAUGACCUUUACUGACACUUAGUUUCUGACACUUUAUAAAAAGUAUCAGUAAUUAUGUACAUAUGCACCAUUUUCCGCUUUUAACAAACAAGUAUUAUAAAUUAUUGAUACUAACGUGAUUAUGUGAUUAUGCUAUUACAGUGCUAAAAAGAAUGCAGGAUUAAUUAAUCCGCAAGGCAACUAGGCAAGUGGAUAUGUAUCUGUUUGAUGAUAGAUUAGUUUUGAGAAAUUCAUUUAUCUUAUUUAAAAGAUUUUCUUAUUUUUCUUAGUUGUUAGAAUAACACUGGACAAGAAAUAACUGAGUAUGUUGAAAAUUCUCAAGAAAAUUAUCCAUUUUGGAAGCAUAAAUAUAGGACAGAAAUAUGAAAUUAAUGAACUUAAUUUGAAGAAAGUUUAUUAGCAUUAUCUAUACGAUCAUCUAUGAGGCCUAUAAGAAGGUUAAUGAUUCUUACAAUUCAUGGUAUUUAUUACAGCCAAAAAAAAGUCAACUAAUUACGUAUGCAAGAGAAAUAAUUAAGUAAUUAAGUUGUAAUUAAUUAAUCACAAAGAAUGGCUUAUUUGCUUUUUAGAUUGAAGCCCUUGCUGGGAAGUUCAAUUCACUUUAUCACAUAUGAUCAAAACCACAGUUUCUAGUGUCGUUUUUUUGGGGUUUUGUUGAUUACACGGAAAGUAACUAAUUACUACAGCUAAAGCAUGCAAAACAAUAUUAGAAGCAAAAUGAUUUUUGGAUCUGAAGGGGCAAUUAUUUUUUUUUCAAGUUUGUUAUAUGUUCUUUUGUGAAGACCUGAAGAUUCGAGAGUCAGAUUAAUAAUUUUGUCUCUCUUAGGCUUUAUGCGGUGAGAAUGAACUUUCUCUCUUUUAAUUCUCUGUCAUUUUCUCAAUGAAGGCAACAAGAGAAAAUUCAAUCUUUAAAAGUCUCAACAUUCAGAAUUUGGCCAGUCUAGUUGUCUACUUUGCAUCUGCUGGAGUAUAAUAUCGCCAAGAGAUUUUUCCAUUGCACUUUACGAAUUUAUAUUACUUUGAGGAGGGAAUUCAGUUGACUACUAAUAUCUUACAAUUGAAAUUUAAAUGUCGGUCUUUAAAUUCUAAAAAUUAAAGGCAAGCCCCAUAUGAAAAUAUAGAUGUUAAAAUCUUCAUUUUUGUUUAUUGAUACUUUAUUUGUUAGUAUCAUUAUUUUAUAGAUAUACUUGAUGUUACACGAUUGACUAAAUAUUAACAUUAAAAUGCAUAUGGAAAGAAAAGAUGAUGGAGGGCCCCAUAAAAGCAUAAAAACAAACGGAGAGGGUGAAGCAAACUUUCAAAAUUGCAACCAUGAGAAUUAAAAUAGUUUAAGUAAGGUUUUUUUAAAAUCAUAAAUAAUGUACAAAAGAAAACUUAAUGAAGGAUUAUUUGAACCCAAAUUCUCAUUUGAACCAGUAUUAAAAAAAUUUAUUAUUAAAUUGUCUCUAACAUAAGAUACUGUUAUGGACUUAAUAAUGCGUAUUUCAUCUUGAAGUCAUCUCUAAAUUUGCUUAAUGUAUACAGAAAAAAAAAAUUGUUUCAUAGUUAUUAAUUUUUCUUCAACUCCUCUAGUUGAAAACAGAUCAAACUGAGUUGUUAAAUAUUGGAUUUGGUGAAAACUAUAUCACUAGUCAAGCUAUUCUAGAUUCAAACAAUCAAAUCUAUUUCAUUGAAUUCGAACUAUAUAAGAAAGAGGAAAGCCAUGCCAUUGAAAAAUAUUGUGCGCUUUAGUUUAGUUGUUUAAUUGAUUAUUGAUUACAACUAUAAUUUUAUUAUUACUUUAUUUUUUCAUGAUAUUAUAUAUGUUUUAUAGCGGUUUAAUGACAAUAAUGGGCAAAAAAAUUAAUUCCACUUAAUAAGUUGAGGGAUUUGGUUUUUGGGUAUGAACAGGUUACGGGUUGGAUAGAUAGAAGAAGAAGAAGGAGAAGAAGAAGAAUGGAAGAAAAAAGUUGCAGAAAAUCAUGAAUUAGUUUCAAAGGUAUAUUAGGUAUUAAGAUGGAUUUAUAAAGUAUAAUAUAAACUUUUAAAUUUUAACAAUGGUUUUAAUGAGUAAAGGAAUUUUGAAACUAAUCCGGUGGAUUUAAAAUGUACUCAUUAAAACUUAAUUAUUUUUUUUUGUUUUUUGAAAAGACUAAAACUUAAUUAUUUAAAAUUAAUAUAUUAGUGCAUAGAAUAAUGAAGCGAUCAAGGUAAUUUUUACAGCAUAAAUAAUCCUACUCUUUUAUGAAAUAGUAACUCUUGGAAUUGUCUGAUUAGAUUAUCAGAAGAUGUUUGCUUGUGGAUGCCAACUGACGUUACAAAGUGAUAAAUGGAUGAACGCACUGUUAACGGGAUAAUAAGUUGUAUAUGUAGGAUUAACGUGUGUGUAGAAGAAAUCUUGCGGUUAUAAUAGACUUGAAAGGUAUAGUCCGUGCACAUCUCACUAUUUGGUGCGUAUGAAUUUUAGCAAUUGAUAAACCGUGAAAUCAAUCAAAUCAUUACCGGCUAUGACUAACAUGAUCAGCCAUAAUUAUUUCUUGUCUCCAAAGAAUUAUUAGUAAACAGUAAAAGGAAGUCUUCAAUGUGAAGAAUUAUCUGUGAAUUCUUGUUCCUAAGUUCGAUCCAUUGUGUACGUGAGAUGAAACUAAAAAAUUAAAAAAGAAAGAAAUUAACAAUAAAGAAGAACGAUCAAGAAGAAGACGAAGAAUAAAAAAAAAAGGGAAUUAAGAAAUAAAGAAGACGAGGGGUGGAAAAUAGUAUUGAAUGAGAAAUGAGAAAUAUGAUUUUCCUUUUUUUAUUCUUAAUGUAAAUUUCACAGCAACAAUUAGAGCAACAUUCACGGAACAAUCUCUGUACCAAGUAAAGCCGACAAAUAUGGCCCUUGCUUUAGCCAUAGGGUUUCCUUCAUCCAGAUUAUGCCUUAAUUUUCUCUGAUUCCUCUAAGAAUUGAUUAAAGCAAUAAUGCAUGACAGAUAUAGUUUUCUCUGCUUAGUAGGGAUCAAUGCAUGCAUGAAAAAGUUGAGGACGAUAAACGACUAGUCGUUUUAACACCCAUACGAUGGUUUUAAGCUAAACUAUUCGACGAUUGUUCUGCUGCAACACAUGGGCCAAGAUGAAGAAUUUAUGGUAAAUUUAAGUUAUGUUGUAUUUGGAAUAUUUGGCGUCGAAUUUUUUCCUAAUUCCAGAUCCAUUUGCCCUUGUGACCAAAUCUAAUCUUGUUAGUUCUUUGAAGGGCUUGUUUUGGCAUCAUGAAUAAUUUUCUAAGAAAAUUUCAUCUCAGGUAUUAUAGUAUUGGGAGAUGGUUAAAAUAAAUAAUUUUAUCAGUGUAAGUAAUUGAAUACUAGUGAAUUCAAAUACAAAGUUUUUCAAUUAAAAGUAAAAAACGAAAUAAAUUAAAUCCUAUUACACCACUUUCGCAGGUAAUCACGGUUGCAUUUAGCGUAUGCAACAAGCCUUUAAACCCCUAGGCAGCCCUAGUGGACGAGUUUAGUCUCGUGAGGGUUUGUAGCGACGAUACCCACAAACAUCAUCAAUCCCUUUAAUAAUAUUUAUCUUAAUCUUCAUUACUACCAAAAUGAAUGCUCCGUCCUCUCACAAGGGCAACAUUAUCAGAAACCUCACCACAAUUAUCACAGAAGCAUUGUGCCAUUAUGCUCAUUGCCGAAACUUCAUCUAAGAAGGGCUUUUGACAAGCUACCUCAAAUUCUUUCAAUGUCCUCGUAGAACUUUCACUAGAGUUUGUCUCGUUCUGGUAGCAAUAGCUUGUGGUGAUAUAUUUAUCAAAAUCUUUCAUGAACGUUUUGGUAUGCUUGGCCUAAUAAAAUGAAAAAACAAAGAAAAAAAUGAAAUGAAUAUAUGCUUUAAAAAAUGAGUUAACUAAAUUAAAAUUUUUAAAGACUAAUAACUAAAUUAAAUUUUUUAAGACUAACCCUUCGCAAGCCUUCGCCGGUCUCAUCGUACUCCCCAACUAUCGGGUCGCCAAUGAUCAGACCACCAACAUUAUGAUCAUUUAUCUGCAUAUAAAAGUCGUUAGAGAAAUACAAUCCAUAAAUUUAUUUGCUUAAUAUAUUCUUUGUAAUUUUUUUUUUUAACAAAUUGAGCUACAAUUCAUGUUUCUUUUUAAAAUUAAAUUAACCAAAUAGUAUUUCUAAAUUUUAACACUCAAGUCCUGCUCAUUUUAAUUUUUUAUGUUAAUAUCAUUGUCCAUUAUUGAUCAUUAUGAAAAUUCUAAUAGAAUGUGGAAUUGUCAUUUUUACCCUUACAAAGAAACAACUGAAGGUUGAGGAUAUUUAAACCAUAAAAAUAUUCUUUGUACCACCUUUUAAUUAAAUAAUUUAUAUUAAAAAAUACUCAUUCAUUAAAUUAUUUUAUGGACGAAGAAUAAAUCUCUGUAAUUUACAACUAUUUAUUCUUUAUCCAUGCUAUCUUUCAUCUUGCACAAAAAUAACCAUUCGUAUAAACUAAAAAAGAAAAAUCCUUAGGAAAGGUGUAGUUCAAGAAUUUCUAGGGAAUAUGAAUGACAAGUUUAUAAAUAACAAAAUUUUAAGAGCUAUAAAUCUUAUAUUUGGAGCAUCUAUGAAAAAAUAACAACAUUUUCAAAUCAAACCACUACUUAGACCAAAGGACCUAUGUUAGGAUUAUUGUUGAUGAAAAAAAAUCUGUUUCUGAAAUAUGAUGGUUUCAACCAAAAUUAUUUUAUUAGGUUUGAGUUUAUGACAAGUAGAAAUUAAAAAAAAAAUGGAGGAUGAAGUUCAGGAGUGCUAAAUUGUUAUUUAGGAAUAAAGAAAGCAAAGGGACGAAGUUCGGUUUCCAUUUAGAUGAAGAUAUUAAUAUGCAAAUAAUAAAAUUUAAUUACAUAUAAUUUAAGAAGUAUGGGACAUGUUCAUUAAUAAUAUCAUUGAAAACAUUUAAUUUACGCAUCUACACAGUCACUUUGGUCAUAGUUUGUUAUUAUUGACAAAUUAAUAUAUUUUUGUCACAUAUUAUUUUUUUAUUGACAUAUUCAAAUAAUUUAUUUUAUAUUAAAGAGAUAUUAUGUUAUAAAAUUUUUGUUAUUAAAUCAUGUUAAUUUUUCAUGCAUUUUGGAAUUUGUACGUGAGAUUACAUUACUGCACAUACAAUGUCACUCAUUCUAAUAGUGAAAUUAGGUCGAUGGAUUCAAGUGUAAAAAUUUUUGAAACAAUCUGGACAUACAUGUUAAGAUUUAGAAACCUUUGACUCUUUUGAUUUUUCAGCAAACAUCAGGGAUGGCAAUGUUAGUAACCAUGCAAACACAUGCAUCUAAACCGUUAUGCAACUAUUUGGUUUGGUCUAAUGGUUAUAUCACUAAAUGAAAAACAAGGGGUACCUAACGUGGAUUACAAAAUAGUUGGACCUUAUAUAGAUGUUAAAUUAUUGUUUAUUUAUUUUGAAUAUCACUUUUACUACUUAUUCAUAGUUAUAAUAUUAUAAACUUACACGUUUUCUGAGUUGCUCCAGAUCCUGUGCUUUUGUAGUUUGUGUUAUAUGUCUGCGACAUUGAAAAAAAAUAGUGUUACACAAAUAAUUAAUUUAUAUUUUAUCUCUAACUAGUAUUUACUAUAAUGUGAAAAGCAAUUAUACCCCAAUGGUGUCAUUUCCACAUAAUUUUGCUCGAAGUUGGCUAGUGCAAGGCCGAUAUACUUAGAUCCAGGAUCAACAGCUAUAAUAUUUUUCUUAAGAGCUUUACAUUCUCUCAAAAGAUUCUUGGCAAUUUUGAGACUCAUUGAGGAUUUUAUUUUAAUUAACCAACAAAUUUUCUUUUUGCCAAACGAUUAUGCUUGUUUUGAUUUGUGCUCCUUAAAUUAGAUAGAUAAUCAUGUAUUUGAUCAUGUUUUUUUUUUAAAUAUAAAAGAAAAAAAUCAUUCAUUGUACAUGUAUUUGUGCUCCUUGAAUUAGGUAGAUAAUCAUGCAUCUGAUCAUGUUUUUUUUUCAAAAAUAUAAAAGAAAAAAAUUAUUUAUUGCACUUGUAUUUGUUUGAGGUUGAAUCACGACAUAAAACAUCUAUGCUAAUUUUUUUUUUUCAACAUCCAAUUAAAAUCCUGGUUCUGCCACUGAUUAGAAGACUUGGGUCAAUUUUAAAUUUUUGCUAGCAUGUGAGCGGAUUCAAGAGACAUUGUGAACUCAAGGAACAUCUCUAUUCAUUCCAUCAGCCCAUAAAUAUCACUAAUGACCCAAAAAACCUCAGUACGAGAGCUAGAGACACAAUUAAUAAGUUCAUGAGCCACUACACAAUUGGCUUGAUCAUCACCAGCAUGUUCUACCACUUUAUUAGAUCGGCCUGGAUUUGCUCUUGCCGUGCAAACAACAGAAUCCCAUCUAAAGUUAGAUUAAUUACAUCUUAUCCUUCAUUAAAAAAUAAAUAAAAUUACAUGUUAUCCUAGGUUGCAAUGUUAGAUUUCAUAAUUAAAGAAUAAUACUUUUAUAUUUGAAUUAUCUUUAUUUUCAAUUAUUUUUUAUAAUUAAUUUUUUAGAGUAUGUAUUCAUAGAAUAAGGUACUUUAUGUCCCAUUUUAUUUAAUAUACUUCUUUCUACUUAUGAAAUUUUAUGGUCAUAAUAAAAUAUUAAUUUUUAAUUUAGCCCAAGAUAAUAUAAAGCUUUGGGUCCGCCCCUGGUUAACUUAUUGACUAGCGACUAAAUAGACGAUGUUUGGGUUGCCUCUCCGAUGAUUGAAAUUUUUUUCUUUUUUUUUUGUGAAAAAAAGAAAAUACUCAAAUAGUUUUAUUUUUAAAUUAAAUUAAAGAAGUUGUUCUUACUGAAGUACAAGACGCAGUUCCUACGAAAUAAAAUUAAAGAAUGAAGAAGAUAGAAAUUGUAAAAGCUAGCUGCAUACACAGCUUUUGGGCAUGUAUUAAAGGACAAAUUAAUCAAGCACGCCACCAAAUUGGAACGCAUUCGUGAUUCACCCGAUGGUGAGUUGCAUAAAGGAGACUUUGCAUAAAAGUACAAACUCAUUAAUCAUUAAGACAUGAAGUAGUUGUAAUUAUUUAAUUGUAAUAACUUUAAUUAUCAACUUCUAAAAUUUAUGGUAACGUUAUCAAUAAAAUUCCGAAGGAUGAAAAUUGUCAAUCAGUCUCAUUAAUAACGGCAACUUCUUGCUCAAUGUCACUCGCUUUCACUCUUAAUUUUGAAUAUUUAAGUAGUUUUCUUAUUAAUUAAAUUGAAUAAGUUGUGGUUUGUGUGUAAUCACUCGAGUUUCAGCAAUAAUGAGUAGGGUUAGUGUUGGUAUUUGCACAAAAUUGUUAUAACUACAAUUAUUAAUAGUUGAAGAACACCAAAUUUAUUUAUUGAGUAGUGUUACACAUCUCAAAAUUUUUAUCAUAAAUGAUAUGACAUUCAUCAAAUUGAUUGGUGAGAUAUUACAAUUAAUUUACUUAAAUUUGAUAAGAAAUUAUGAAAUUUAAUGAAUGACAUGUUAUUUAGAAUAAACUUUGAGAUAAUAGGAGUCUAUUACCACUCUUAUUUUUUUAGACUUGGCUAGGACUGAAAAAUGAUGUUGAAUCGUUAAUAGGAAAACCAUUCAAGAAAACAUAGAACGACGAUGCAAGGUAUCAAGAAUAUUAAAAAAUAUGUUAGAGCCGGUUAGGGAUGGCAAUUGGCACCGCCCGCGGCGGGUUUGUCAUUAUCAAAGCCAAACCCACACAAAAUUUAAAUUACCAAACCCACCUGCAACCCAUAGCGGGUUUUAAUUUUUUUAAGAAAACCCACCCGCUAAGGAUUUUGACAAUUACCAAACCCGCAUUGGUAUCCGGCGGAUUUUUUGGGGAAUUUUUAUAUUUAAAAUCACAAAUGUUGAAUAUAUAAAUUUACAAUAAUAACCUCAAAUUCCACAUAACAUAUUCAAUUUUAAAUUUAACUAAUAUAAAUGAAAAAUUAAAAUUUCAACAUCAAUCCAACACAAAAUUUUAAAUUUUAAGUAUAAAAUACACAAAUCCAUUAAAAAAAACGACAAACUAAUAUCUAAAAAUAACAAUUACAUCUCAUAUUAUCAUUCAACACAAGCUCCAAGAAAGAUGUUCAUUUCAUUCACCAUCAUUAGCACCCAUCCAACAUGAUGCCUACAAUAAUGAUUAAGAUUAAUAUUUUCCAAAAAAUAAUAUUUUUCAAAUACUAAUCCGAAAAAACUUAUAUAAUGAACUAAUUCAUGCAUUAAGUUAAAGAAAAAUAGUCCAUACAAAAACAUUUUGGUUAUUUGGCACUUUGCAUUGUUAUACACACUACACUUGUUUAUACUUUGGUUAUUUGGCGCUUUGCAUAAUUGCAUUAUUUUCUUUAUAUAUUAAAUAUUUAAAUAUUUUUCAAUUAAAAAUAUUUAAAAAAUAUUGCGGGUCUAGCGGAUAUCCAUGUGGGUAUUCGCCGGAUAUUGGGCUAAUACCAAACCCACCCGCAUCCAAAUGCGGGUUUCAAUUUGUAAUACCAAACCCACCCGCAACCCACAAAAUUAUCCGAAGCAGACGGGUUUUGGCGGGUGGAUUUGGGCGGGUUUGUAGACACAAUUGCCAUCCCUAUAGCCAGUUAAAUGGAGAAAAAUUUUAAAUAGUUUUCAUAAAGCAUAUUUUUAUUUUUUUAUUGAGCAUAAAAAUUGCAUUAAUCUCAUGACAAAAGAGUAUAAAGUUCUACUAAAACAUUUUCCAGCUGAACUACAACACUAGUCGUCGAGGCGGAACUACAUUCACGCCUAGCAAGGGUUGCCAAGGUUUCAAAAUUUAUUUUUAAAAAAUAAUGUGAAAACUAAAAAGUUUUCAAAAUGAUCCCCAAUAUAUGUUUCAAGGCAACUCUCAAUUUUCUUCAUAUUUUCGCAACCCCUAAAUUAAAAUCUUAAUUCCACCACCGACUAGACGACUUUUGCAAAUUCUGCUAGCUUUUGAGUUGAUACUUUGCAAUUUCAAGAGACAGGUUGAACUCAAAAAGCACUCAUUCGUUCCAUCAGCAGAUGAAUAUCACUAAUGACCUAAACAAACCUCAAUACGAAAACCUUCAAUCAGCCACUACACAAUUGCGCUACUACAGUCAUUGAAUUCACAUGGCAACAACAUCCAUGGUUGUGCACGUUUUAGCUAGCGUCUUUAAUGCGCGCUCAAAUUUAAGUUGGCAAAAAUACAUGAUUUUUCUCUAAGCUCUGAUUUUAAUCUUGUGGGAAGGAGAUGAAUGAAAUACUAAUUUUUUUUUUUAAAGGGUGAAAGACCAAAAAAGAAAAAAGCAGUACUUGAAAAUUAUAAGCUCAAAAGUUGUUUAACUAGCAAUUCAUUCAUUUAUUUUUUUAGAAGGAAUAAUUCAUGAGUUUUCAAGUCAGCUUUAACGACAAUGAGAUGUGAAAAUAAUUGUUGCAUCUUUAGAAAGUAGUCCUCUUAUAAGAAUGCACACAUCCUUUUAAAGUACAGACGUUCAGAUUUUAUAAGCUCAUAUUACAAUAUAUUUAUGUAAUAUUCAGAAGUUUCAUCGAGAGUUUUUAAGUUACAUUUCACUCUUACCCCUCCUCAUCAUCAAAUUAAAUGUAUACCCUUAGAAUUGCACUUGUGACUUCUUGCUUCCAUUGCAAUGGUUAAGCCAAUUAUAUUCGGGAUUUAAAUUUACGUGAUUAUAAUACAUUCUCGAAAUGUAGCGAGACUAAAAUGAUAAUCUAAGCCUGUUAAACUAAAACCAAAACAAAUGGUUGAUCGUGAUUUCUUUUUCAUUAGAUUUUAAUACUAAUGUAUGCAUGGUGUAAUGUUUAGACAAAAUAGAUGGGCGCUUAGUGUUAUUUACUUAAUUUGAUAUCUAAUUUUGAGAACCACAUUGGACUGGUCCCGUUGGAUCUGACUGUCCAUGUAGUCUAUUUUGGUCUAAAUAGGGAUCAAACUUUGAUUGAACUUUGGACUCAAAUGUGGAAUCAGUUAGGGGUGGGCAUGAGUUGGUUUGUGUUAGAUUUUAAAACAAUCCGAACUAAAUUAUAAAAAUUUGGGCCUGACCUAAACCAACCCAAAUAUUUUUAACCCAGCCCAAAUAAUUCA